rnacentral:rRNA from 1 species
AUAUAACUAGGCGGAGGAAAAGAAACUAACCAGGAUUCCCUUAGUAACGGCGAGUGAAGCGGGACAAGCUCAGACUGAAAAUCUUCGGAAUUGUAGUCUGGAGAAGUCAAAUCAGCUUUAAGUUUCGGAUAAAGUCUCUUGGAACAGAGCGCCGUGGAGGGUGAUAGCCCCGUUCAUGUCUGAAACGAAAAGUGUACGAUUGGCUUUCUAAGAGUCGAGUUGUUUGGGAUUGCAGCUCUAAGUGGGUGGUAAAUUCCAUCUAAAGCUAAAUAUAAAUGGGAGACCGAUAGCGAACAAGUACCGUGAGGGAAAGAUGCAAAGAACUUUGAAAAGAGAGUUAAAUAGUACCUGAAAUUGCUGAAAUGGAACCGAUGGGAGGCAGUGUUGGCUUGGUGGUACUUGUAUCAUCUAGCAAGUCAGGCUUCUUUAAUUAUGUGGGAAAAGCUUCUAGACCAGUUUGGGAUAGUUUUGCUGUCAUGUGAUUGAAGGACUCUGACGAAAUGCCUCUUAUCAU